rfam:Rhodococcus sp. MEB064 contig_8, whole genome shotgun sequence.
GGGGCUGAACGGUUUCGACUGUGUGCGUCUAGUUAGGGGAAGCGUGCCGGUGCAGGCGAGAGACCACCGUAAGCGUCAUCGCAAAAAUAUAAGCGCCGAUUCCAAUCAGCGCGACUACGCACUCGCUGCCUAAGUAGCGACUGCGUGUCUGUCAGUCCGGUUUCGCCCUCGGGCCGGGUACUGGCAUCAGCUAGAGGGCUCACCUAUUCACUCGGCUGCGGAGUGAUGUGGAACAUCAAACAGUGGCUGGGAUCGUCAUCCAGGCUUGUCUGCGAGAUCUGGAGAUCCAAGUAGAGGCAUAGCGGACUGCGCACGGAGAAGCCCUAGCAAACCGACACAGGACCCGGGUUCGAUUCCCGGCAGCUCCACAG